rnacentral:rRNA from 1 species
CCUACGGGAGGCUGCAGUGAGGAAUAUUCCUCAAUGGGCGAAAGCCUGAAGGAGCGACGCCGCGUGACUGAUGAAGUCUUUCGGGAUGUAAAGGUCUUUUCUACGGGACGAAACAAUGACGGUACCGUAGGAAUAAGAGGUUGCUAACUCUGUGCCAGCAGCAGCGGUAAUACAGAGACCUCAAGCGUUAUCCGGAUUGAUUGGGCGUAAAGCGUGCGCAGGCGGCUUCUUAAGCCGAUGGUCAAAUUCUCCAGCUCAACUGGUGAACUGCCGUCGGAACUGUGAAGCUAGAGUAUGGAAGGGGUGAGCGGAAUUGCCAGUGUAACGGUAAAAUGUGUUAAUAUUGGCAAGAACACCAGAGGCGAAGGCGGCUCACUAGUACAUUACUGACGCUGUUUGCACGAAAGCGUGGGGAGCGAACGGGCUUAGAUACCCGAGUAGUC